CGCAAAUGAUGUUUUUCUCACGAUGGUCUUCCAAGCCCUCUGGGUCCUGACGAUACUGCCUAAUGGCAUUACUGAUGCAGUCCA
rnacentral:snoRNA from 1 species